ACUGUCUCUUAUUUAAUUAUAAAAUUUAAUUUUUUUAUUAAAAAGUUAAAAUAUUUUAAAAAGACGAGAAGACCCUAUAGAGUUUAAUAAAUUAUUAGAUUGAGAUUAUAUAUAAAUAAACUUAAAAUUAAAUUAUUUAUUUUGUUGGGGUGACAAAAAAAUACAUUAAACUUUUUUUUUAUUUAAAACAUUUAUAAGUGAUUAAGUGAUCCAAUAAUAUUGAUUAUGAGAAAAAAUUACCUUAGGGAUAACAGCGUAAUUUUUUUUUUUAGUUCAAAUAAGAAAAAGAGUUUGCGACCUCGAUGUUGGAUUAAGAUAAAAUUUAAA
rnacentral:rRNA from 1 species